AACGAUAUCCACUACGAGCAUAACACACCCGAAUAUCUGACUGGUCAAACUGGUGGGCCGGUUGCAUCGUGGGUAAUUCAGUGCGAGGUUUUGAUAAGACAAAGAAAAUGCGCAGAAUAAAAAAGACGAUAUCUCUGCUUCUCCUAGAUCAACUUUGACCCUUUGUAUAUAUAAAAAAAAAAAAAACCCCGACCCAUCUUGCUAUAGAAUCAAUGCUAUAGAGUGUGAAUUGGGUAAAAAAUAUAAUUAAAGGGGCAUUCCACAUAUAACAAACAAACAAACACAAGAACCAUUUUAUGGAGUAGAGUGCGGAGGAUGAAUUGAGGAGUCUCAUGGCCUUGUGAAAGAAGCCGCUCUAUAGUCUGGUGGUGCAGCAGCGGAUACUUCUGCAUCUUUGAUAGGCAUCAGUAUUAAAAUGAGACAGACAUAACCAUUUAAAAGUCCUUUGUAGUACAAGUAAUGAUUACUUGCAAUACCAGUGUAACUGUAAUUUAAAACCUCACUAACAUUUAAUCCACGUCAGUAAAUUCGUCUGAAAACUGAAAGGAUGGAUAUAAGUGAGCACCAGACUUUAGAGUCAGCUGAAAUAAGCAAAUGGAUUCUUGUUAAUGUAUGAAUAUAUGAAUAAAACACCCACUGUAUUCAUUAUUAGGAGCAGUGUUGAGAUUUAUAGAAGCGGUAAUAAUCCGAUCACAACAUGGGAGCUGCUUUCUGAAGCAUUUCCACGUUCAUUAACUCCCCUUUCUCCUUUUACAAUCAAUCCCACACUGAGACUCUUGCAUUGAGAUUUCCAAGCCAUAAACAAUAUGAUCUCACUUUCCUGUUAAUGCAAACAGUUAGAAGGGUAGCUAAAUUGUGUUAAAAUGCACAGACACACACAUUAAACUGCUCACAGGGCAUCAGGGGAUUUUCAGCAAACUUUGGCAUCACGCACAGGUUUGAGAAAAAUUCAUCUGUUUGUUUGACGAGCGCUCCCCCUCGUCCCUCACUGGGUCAGCACAGCACACCCAAGUGUUGACAAUCUCUUUCAAGCUUUUGGACUUGACGCUCCAUAAUGGCCUUUCUGAUGGCCUUUCCACACCUCCCCCACCCUCCAUUGUCCAUACAGUGAUGAAAUAUGACCUGAUCUCUGUCUCGGCUGCAGCCUCUGUCACACCUCUCGCCUCACAGCCUCAAACCCUGCCACUUCAAUUUCCUCUCUGCCUCUUCCCUCUGUAUCUUUUCGGACUUUUUCCUUCGCACUUGUGUCGCCUUUACCUCCCAGAAUCUCUUAUUCAGCCCCCAAACAAGGAAAGCGUCUCACCCUGAAGAGAGAUUGCUUAGCUCUCUGUACCUCUGCCAUGUCAGAGGUUAAGCCUCUCAGUCUCUUCUUCUCUGAAAUACAAUCUUUGUCAUUUUCUCUCUGGAUAUCUGAAAAGCAACUGAUGCAGCACCACAAUCCACAGUAGACUUAUGCUUUGUAUCCAAAGUUGAUAUGGAAAUGUGAUCUUAUGUCACCAGAUCACACAAUACAUUCACAUAUAGCAUUUAAGUACAUCUAUAUUGGCGUCUCCUGCUGCGCCUCCAUCUGUUUACAUCGCAGUUAACCAUGCCCGACACAUGUAGAUUUGUGAUCACUUAGAGACCGUGACAUCUUACAUACCUUGUUUUGAAGGUCUGAUGCCAGAAUCAGAUUUUGGCAUCAGACCUGUCACUUGUCACAGGUUUGAAAGGAUGAUAAAAGCUGUAUUUAAAUGAUAUGAAAGCGCAACCUCGGCUAAGGGUGCAAGUCUUUGAAGCAAUACGUGAGCAAAUGUGUUGACAGAAAGUAAAUGCUGAAGAUCAUUCAAAGGCACAUCACAUGCUGGGAAAAGUGAAGGUAAAAUGACAUUUGUGAAUUCAUUUAUCUUAAAAGGGUCCGCAUAUAGUGUUGAUGUACCCUGAUAUACUUGGAAAACAGCUCACAUGCACCGACUGGAUACUACCUCGUUUACCUGCUUAAGUGGAAAUAACAAGAUGAAAAAGUAAGGGUGUCUUUAUAUUUCUCCAUAAAAACAGUUGCUAAUUUACACAUCCUGCAGAGACAGAGCAACAUUAGCAUUCAUUUGGAUUGACUUUUCUUGUCUUGUAAUAAAUUGAAAUCCAACAUUUAUUUUCCUUUUAGCUCCGAUUUUGGUCUGCACCAACUACCGAGGGCUCUUCAGUUGCUAAAUGCACCACUGUGUUCAUCAGCUAGCUGCUACCUUUGUCUGUCUACCGUUUGGUGCUAGGUAGGUAAUGUUUAAUCAGAAAAUGGUUGAUUAAGAGUGGCGAGAGGGAAUAAGUGAUAUAAAAUCAGUAUCUUUUCUAUAGUGUGACAAAGGACACUGUCCAGCCAGAGUUACUGCCGUCAGGGAGUGACAUUGCCAUGGGGGAUGUGCUUGGUCUAAGACAAUCUUCCAGAGGGUAGUGCAGAUCAAGCGGCAUCCAGGACCCAAAAUUUCCAAGCAGAACAUUGCACUGCAGCAAAAUGAUCAAAGCGAUUCUCUUCACUUGACAGCGGUUUAACUGUUGCAGCUGAUUGGCUUUACAGCUGUUGUCUAACAGGACGAGGACUUUGCCCACCAGCAAUCGUUUAACCUCCAACUUCAUUAUCUUCACAACUAGCAAGGAACUGCAAAAGUGUGUCGUCUGUCUUUUGAAAAUUAGCACAUGACCGCUUUCGAGGUUGAGCAGUGCAGGAGAUACUUUUGUUAAUGAACCUGGUUAUGACAAUAUGACCACUUGUUGAAAACCUAUUACCGGAUCCAUCAUCUGCUAUUAGAUGGACCAUCACCACGGCUGUUAAUUUCCGGUAAUGAGUCAUUAUCUGAACUUCACACUGCUAUGGCCUUUUUGACUUCCCUGUUGUGUAAGUGACGCUGUUCUUUCACAAGGAUCUGAGUGGCUGUGAAUGAGCUCGAUGACCUCUGAUUGCUUGAGAAAACCGCCAGCACAAAGGUAGCAAUCUUACGCCUGAGGCACAAACAGACAAAUCUUUACAUCUAGCUUGCUAUUGCAUUAUUUACCCCAAAACACGCCACUUGGUAUGAUGCAUGUAAACAGGUAGAGGCUGAAAGAGACGCCAACAGGUUGCCCAUCAACAAACUGUGCAACGUUUGAGUUCUUAUACCCUCAUGAAAAUGUUGUUCUGCUGCGCUGAAUUGCCUCACCGUGGCACUGAGGAAGAUAUGUCAAAAUUGCUUUUUCUGUUUCUCUCUCACUCUCUAUCUCUAUUGUGCAGUAUGCUGAAGCAUCCCUGACAGACCUCAUCCACACCUUAGGCCAUACAUGAGUGGACAGCAGAAGAAAAGAGCGAGUUUUUAAUCCAAUAUUAACAGCACGGUGGCAUUGCAGUGGAAAAUUACUGGGUUUUUUGCAUGAGGGAGAUCAAAGUCAUUGGCCUUAUUCUGCCUUUGGUGCUCUGGAUUAAAGUCACCCUCUUUCCAUGGACUCCUGAUCGCCUGGCAACAUCAAAGCAGAUAGCACAGGCAUCUGAUUCAUCAGAGAAAAAAACAUUUGUUAACACACUCACUUAAACAAGCAAGUGUUAAAAGAAAAAGGAAACAGGAAACGGUCAAAUAAAUGGUAAGAUAUAAAUAAAAACUUUCAGCAAGUUGGCAGGAGCCGCCGUUCAGUCGGCUUCUCCAAAGGCUUAGCAAAGAUCCAGUUGGCAGCAGACUGUCUCUGCAGAGCACAGAUGGAUUAGAAACCGACAGUCCAGACCAUGCUAGCGGACGUCAGAAUGACAGAUGUGUCACUUAGGCCCAACACAUGCUUUAUGAAGGUCUUGGAUUAGCUAGAACUCUCCAGCAUAGUGGGAGUUGUGUGUCUGGUGUGUGUGUGUGUGUGUCUGCUUCAGAGGACUCCAUGUGAAUCAUGUUGCCAUCUCACACUUUAGUUCAGCGUGGAAAGUGGCUGGAAAGCAGCAAAGUGUGCAAACGUGGGCUUAACGGCUCGUUCUCCGCAUCCCCAGAAAUGAAUUCCUCAUUAUUCCGACCUUAGGCUCGUCAGGGAUCUCGGCUGUAUGCAUUCACGCGUACAUUUACAGGCAAUUUAAUGUCAUACUUACAUCAACUUUACUGUUUUCCAUAAAAAAAAAAAAAAAAAAAGUAAUACGUGGUGGAAAGAAAAAGUGCUGUGCUGUGCUUUAAAAGGGAAAAGUCAUUUAAUCCUGGUGUCGCGUGUGAGAGGUGGAAUGAGUUUUUCUUUCCUGUCAAAUGAAGCUACUCAACUGUGCUUGUGCAGGAGAGGAGUUUUGGUGGAAAAAUGACAAUUUCUAAAUGGUCUUAAACUCUGAAAAUAGCGACGACGUGUGAUUUAAAGCCACACCUCGCCAGACGUGUGACUGCAUCUGAAAAAAAGGGGAGCAGCCACGAGGGAAGAUGAAACAAGACAAAGGAUUAAUAAAUUAUAAAGUAAAUAACCUGGGCACUGUAUAAUUUCAGCAUAAUUCCAAAGGAAGACAGACACUAUCCAAGCGUGAUCAAAAGCAGCACAUGUGGCACUGCCAACUGCGACCCAUUGGAUUUAGCAUCACUCAUUAGCAGCGUCCGCUCUCAUUAACUGACAUCUGUAUCUUAAUUAAGCAAAAGAAGACAGGGAUAGAUGCAGGUGGCUGUCCAGGCUGGCCACUUAAGCAUCCAGGCAGCGUUCCCUCUCACCUUUAUUGGGAUUUUAACAACUUUUAUAAAGGUACAUGGGGCAGCGAGCAGCACUCUGUUUGGAUUGCUAAUAAGGCUCACAUGAUAUUGCUGCUCCGCUCAGGGCUUAUACAGGAAGGUGACUUAAAAGAAAAACAGCAGAGUCUUCACUUUUUUGUUCGAUGCUUUAACCCACAAGACCCCAUGGUCUUUUAAAUCCUUGACAUAAACCACAUGAUCCUGACCCCUGUCCUCCCAUGAAAUCUGCCUACAGCCUCAUAAACAAGUGUCAGUCGCGUCGCCAGAAUAAAACAUUACUGCAAACCUACAUUCAGUUUGUCAUUCAGCAACAGGAGACCAAAGGAAACGCCGGGCUAUUUCCUACCUUAUUAUUCACCCAAGGUCAACCCAACCUCCUGCUUUGGCACUGGCCCUUGCAUUGACAGCUGAGAAAUCAUACAUUAUGAAGAAUAUGCAAGAAAUCACCAACUGUGGAAGCUGAGAGGGAAAAGUUACACCGCGAGUUCUUUAAUAAUGAAGCGAUUCUGGCCCGACAUCGCUGCAUUUCCAGCGCGGAGAGAGGGGCACCUGAUGAACUUGGGAGCUGAAAUCAUAUUCCAAUAAACCAAAAAUUAAUUA